GAGUUUGAUCCUGGCUCAGAUUGAACGCUGGCGGCAGGCCUAACACAUGCAAGUCGAGCGGGUAGAGAGAAGCUUGCUUCUCUUGAGAGCGGCGGACGGGUGAGUAAUGCCUAGGAAUCGUGCCUGGCAGUGGGGGGAUAACGCUCGGAAACGGACGCUAAUACCGCAUACGUCCUACGGGAGAAAGCAGGGGACCUUCGGGCCUUGC
rnacentral:rRNA from 1 species